rnacentral:rRNA from 1 species
GACGUAGGGCGCGAGCGUUGUCCGGAUUUAUUGGGCGUAAAGAGCGUGUAGGCGGCCAGGUAGGUCCGUUGUGAAAACUCGAGGCUCAACCCUGGAAUGCCGGUGGAAACUGUCGGGCUGGAGUCCGGAAGAGGCGAGUGGAAUUCCUGGUGUAGCGGUGAAAUGCGCAGAUAUCAGGAGGAACACCAAUGGCGAAGGCAGCUCGCUGGGACGGUACUGACGCUGAGACGCGAAAGCGUGGGGAGCAAACAGG